CUCGCAGUAUAUUUUUGUGUUUUUGUUUAUUUUUUUAAAAUCAAAUCACAGGAUUAUACUGUGAG
rnacentral:pre_miRNA from 1 species